rnacentral:rRNA from 1 species
CCUUUGCCGGCGACCGGCGCACGGGUGAGUAACACGUAUGCAACCUGCCCUCUUCAGGGGGACAACCUUCCGAAAGGGAGGCUAAUCCCGCGUAUAUCGGUUUCGGGCAUCCGAGAUCGAGGAAAGAUUCAUCGGAAGAGGAUGGGCAUGCGGCGCAUUAGCUAGACGGCGGGGUAACGGCCCACCGUGGCGACGAUGCGUAGGGGUUCUGAGAGGAAGGCCCCCCACACUGGUACUGAGACACGGACCAGACUCCUACGGGAGGCAGCAG